rnacentral:rRNA from 1 species
AUUGAACGCUGGCGGCAGGCCUAACACAUGCAAGUCGAACGGUACCAGGAAGAGGCUUUCUUCUUUGCUGACGAGUGGCGGACGCGGGAGUGAUGUCUUGGAAACUGCCUGAUGGAGGGGGAUACCUACUGGAAACGGUGGCUAAUACCGCAUAGCGUCGCAAGACCAAAGAGGGGUACUUCCAUGCCUCUUGCCGUCACUUGUGCCCAGAUGGGAUGAGCUAGUAGGUGGGGUAACGGCUCACCUAGGCGACGAUCCCUCGCUGGUCUGAGAGGAUGACCAGCGACACUGGAACUGAGACACGGUCCAGACUCCUACGGGAGGCAGCAGUGGGGAAUAUUGCACAAUGGGCGCAAGCCUGAUGCAGCCAUGCCGCGUGUAUGAAGAAGGCCUUCGGGUUGUAAAGUACUUUCAGCGGGGAGGAAGGGAGUAAAGUUAAUACCUUUGCUCAUUGACGUUACCCGAAGAAGAAGCACCGGCUAACUCCGUG